rnacentral:lncRNA from 1 species
UUUUUUUAGUUCUGGAAGCAGCUAAACAAUGAUUUCCUGCAGGGGGUAUCAGCCUUUCAUAUUUUCUGCCUGCUUCUCUGACAGCCUUCAGGCCCCAGGUCAGUGAGUGGCAAGCCAGGCCCAGAGAGCUCUGGACCCACUGGAAUAUCCCCUUCUCGGAAGCUGGGAAAGGCCAUGAUGUUUCACCUCUCCCCAGCAAACUGGGACCUGCCCUGGAAGAAGAAACCAGACCAGAUCUUCUCAGGCGUGAAAACAAGAUUCACUGCAAGUAUCCCAACAUUGGAUUCCUGUUAACUGCAAGAGCAGCUUAUCGAUCAACAUGGGAUGUCCAGCAGGGCAGAAGCAGACAUGUGUCUGCCCCACCAGUGAGUCAACCCCAGGUCAGCCCUAAGAGUUGGAGCUCAGGUGGGUGGGAGCUGCACUCACUUGAAAUGAGGAACACUG